rnacentral:rRNA from 1 species
AUUUAACCUCAAAUCAGGUAAGAAUACCCGCUGAACUUAAGCAUAUCAAUAAGCGGAGGAAAAGAAAAUAACAAUGAUUCCCUUAGUAACUGCGAGUGAAGAGGGACAAGCUCAAAUUUUAAAUCUGUUAGGUUCAUCUAACCGAGUUGUAAUUUGAAGAGGCGUUUUCUGCGUUUUUGAUCAGUCCAAGUCCUUUGGAAUAAGGCAUCAUGGAGGGUGAGAAUCCCGUUCGGUUGAUCAAAUUUGCUUUAUGAUACGUCAUCUAAGAGUCAAGUUGUUUGGGAUUGCAGCUUAAAAUGGGAGGUAAAUUUCUCCUAAGGCUAAAUAACGGCGAGAGACCGAUAGCGAACAAGUACCGUGAGGGAAAGAUGAAAAGAACUUUGAAAAGAGAGUCAAAUAGUACGUGAAAUUGUUGAAAGGGAAACGAUUGAAGUCAGUCGUACCUGCGGGAUAAUCAGCCUUUCGAGUAUGAUUCUGUGGAGUGUAAGGAGUUUAACCGUCUUCAUACCUGCAUAUUCGUGCGCUUUGGGUGUACUUGUCCGUAUGGUAGGUUAACAUCAAUUUUGGUCGUUAUAAAAUGACUAGGGGAAUGUAGCUUUGAUCCCGUAUUGAAGUGUUAUAGUCUCUGGUAAAUGCAGUGACUAGGAUUGAGGAUUGCAACGGAUACCUUUCGGGGCUACUCGUCUGAUCUCUGGAAGUUACUUUGGUGCUAAAAGCUUGCUUAUGGUUAUCGAAGUUGACGGUCAAUAGGUUAGAACGAGUUAAAUUCGUUAAGGAUGUUGACGUAAUGGCUUUAAACGACCCGUCUUGAAACACGGACCAAGGAGUCUAACAUAUAUGCGAGUGUU